CCUACGGGCGGCAGCAGUAGGGAAUAUUGCUCAAUGGGGGAAACCCUGAAGCAGCAACGCCGCGUGGGGGAUGAAGGUUUUCGGAUUGUAAACUCCUUUUGUUAGAGAAGAUAAUGACGGUAUCUAACGAAUAAGGACCGGCUAACUCCGUGCCAGCAGCCGCGGUAAUACGGAGGGUGCAAGCGUUACUCGGAAUCACUGGGCGUAAAGAGCGCGUAGGCGGGUUAGCAAGUCAGAUGUGAAAUCCUAUGGCUUAACCAUAGAACUGCAUUUGAAACUGUUAUUCUAGAGUAUGGGAGAGGUAGGUGGAAUUCUUGGUGUAGGGGUAAAAUCCGUAGAGAUCAAGAGGAAUACUCAUUGCGAAGGCGACCUGCUGGAACAUAACUGACGCUGAUGCGCGAAAGCGUGGGGAGCAAACAGGAUUAGAUACCCCUGUAGUC
rnacentral:rRNA from 1 species